rnacentral:rRNA from 1 species
GAUCCUGGCUCAGGAUGAACGCUAGCUACAGGCUUAACACAUGCAAGUCGGGGGGGCAGCAUGAACUUAGCUUGCUAAGUUUGAUGGCGACCGGCGCACGGGUGAGUAACACGUAUCCAACCUGCCGAUGACUCGGGGAUAGCCUUUCGAAAGAAAGAUUAAUACCCGAUGGCAUAAUUCUUCCGCAUGGUAGAACUAUUAAAGAAUUUCGGUCAUCGAUGGGGAUGCGUUCCAUUAGGUUGUUGGG